CGUGUAGGCGGUCGAUCAAGUCCGGUGUGAAAGCCCGGGGCUUACCCCCGGAAGUGCGCUGGAAACUGGUCGACUAGAGUAUGGGAGAGGGAAGUGGAAUUCCUGGUGUAGCGGUGAAAUGCGUAGAUAUCAGGAGGAACACCGGCGGCGAAGGCGGCUUCCUGGACCAAUACUGACGCUGAGACGCGAAAGCGUGGGGAGCAAACA
rnacentral:rRNA from 1 species